rnacentral:tRNA from 1 species
GCGCUCGUCGUUCAACGGAUAGGACAUAGGAUUGCGGAUCCUAAAAUCGUGGUUCGAUUCCACGCGAGCGCACCC